UACGGAGGGUGCAAGCGUUAUCCGGAUUCACUGGGUUUAAAGGGUGCGUAGGUGGGCAGGUAAGUCAGUGGUGAAAUCUCCGGGCUUAACCCGGAAACUGCCGUUGAUACUAUCUGUCUUGAAUAUAGUGGAGGUGAGCGGAAUAUGUCAUGUAGCGGUGAAAUGCUUAGAUAUGACAUAGAACACCCAUUGCGAAGGCAGCUCGCUACACUAUCAUUGACACUGAGGCACGAAAGCGUGGGGACCAAACAGG
rnacentral:rRNA from 1 species